UUAAAAUUAUGGUAAGUAUUUUUAACCAGCUCAUCAACAGGGACAAUAAUUUGACGAGCUCGGUGAUGCAGUGGUAAAGUGCUUGCCUCUGAAUCGAGAGGUCCCGGGUUCGAUCCCCGCGGUCGGUAGUCUAAAACAAUCAAUAUUAUUUUAUUAAAUAUACUAUAGUAGCUAUAGCCGCGCCCGUCCGUCUCAUUCAGGCCGAUCAUCCAGUAGGGAACCAAUGUGGAAACAGCAACUUGGAUGGUUGAAUUUGUUAUUAGCUCAGGGGGCGAGCAGAACGAAAGAUCCCGUGCCAGCAUCAUCAACCACUAAUCAAUAGUGACUUAAGAAAGGAUUGCUGAGAAGAAAUGCCUAAAGAAACUCAUUUAAGCAGUAUUGAUCUCUAUCAUGCUAGCAGCGCAAAUUCUUCAAUAAUAUCGAAAUUCUGAAAACAAUUGAUAAAUAGAAAAAAGGACAAGUUAGGAAUGUUAGGAAACUUGAUACAACACGAAGCCUUUUUUAGGUUAUAGAAGGAAAGGUGGAAGGAAGAAGAGGCCCAGAAGACCAAGAGAAUUACACCAGGCAAAUAAAGGAAAAAAUGUCGUGUCGUAUCAAGGAGCGAAGGAGUUGAACAGAGAGAGAACAAUGGAAGGAACUCCAGUGACAAGAUGAUGUAUGAAUAGUGUUGUACUCAUAUAGCCUCAUUUUGAGCUAUACAUAGUCUAUCUAUCGACAAUAAAACUAUCGACUUUUCUGCAACACUGUUCAGUAAAUAUGACCUAAAUAACAUAACAUUCACACUUUAUUAAUAUCCAUUCUGUUAAGAACUUGCGAAGGAUAUGUACAGGAUUUAAUAUACAUAUAUAUAUAUAUAUUUUUUGUAAUUUGUAAUAUAUUUUUACAGUAUAUGUUUUAAGUAUUAAUAAUACCUAAGUGACGUGUGCUAAGAAAAUGGAAAGAAGACAAGUUUUCAAAGCAGCGGUCCCGUACGAGCCUGCGACAAACAUGGUUCCGAAGUCUUCCCUUUUCGCUGUAGUCGGACAAAUGCUACAACAAGUAAACAACCAAUCAGAAUCUAAAACGCAAGGAAAAAGUAACACAAAAAAACCUGUCAACCAGUCAUAAACGCCGCACGCUUUUGUAUUAAAUUGAUCUUAGUUUAUAUGUAAACACUGUUUUUAAUAUACAUAUAUAUAUAAUAUAUAAUAUAUAUAUAUAUAUAUGACCUAUAUUUGUUAAUUGGCGUCCUUGGAGAAAAGGCUGCGGUGAAGUUUGUUGCGCCGCUUCUUCUUCACUUGCGCUUUGGAAGCCGGCAGUAGACUUAGUUUAAGUAAUUUUUUUUACGUCAAUAAGUGAUGUAUAUAUUUUUAAUCAUUUGUAAUGAAACCUUUAUCUAAAUGAAUGUUAAAAAAUUCUUUUUAUCAAUUUGUAUUGCAUUUGUUUAGGAUAACAUCUAAAUCUAAUCGCCCCGCAUCACAUAUCGCUCGUGCAUCGACAUACACAAGCUAUAUUAUUGGCAGAGAUAUUUUCUGUUUUCAAUGCUUGAUAAAAAAAUAUGUCCGUGCAGAAAACCGUCGAGGAGUCCCCUCGACGGUAGCCGUUCUUGGUUGCAAAUCAGGUCAUGCUUAUUAUAAUAAUGCAUUGCCAAUCAAACGUGUAUGCAAAAUCUGAGCUCAAUCGGUCAGCAGAAGGAAAUUGAUAAGUCCCACUGCUGGGCAAAGGCCUCCCGCCCAGCAGUGGGACUUAUCGGCUUGUAUAAAAAAAAAGUAAGCACGCCACUGAAGAUUCUACACUCCCUUUUUUGCACAGUCGAGUAAAAAAGACAUUAGUUUAACCCCAUAACCUGUAACCUCGAUCGUUCGAAGCUAUCGAAAGGGAAUUGUAAAAAUCCGAUGUAAUUUGCGUUCCAUUUCAGAUAGCAAGUGUCGACUUCCCCUUAGCUUUGGGCGAUACGACAUAUUGUGUGUGCGUUUCAUGAUUUCCCUAAGUGUUAUUAAAUUGCUUUCUUGUA